AGUAAAUAAUGUAGUGUGUUUGAAGGAAGAGGUAAAACACCAAACUUAGUACUUUUUUUGUUGUCCCCAUCAUUUCUGCUGGAACGUAAAGGGGUACUGCUGGGAUGCAUCGGUGUGGGCCAGGUAGAGCUGUUGGAUCUGAAGGCAGUUUCUUUGAAGGAUCCUAAUCUGCACAGCUGCAGUCACUAUCAAUCCAUACCCACAGUCCCAAGUCCCACCUUUGGGACUUCCAGCUUUUGGGCUGAAAGUCAGUAAGUUUGGGGAGCAAAGUUGUGAGCCAUAUGAAUGAAACCAUGAGCUUAUCCCAUGGGAAAGAAAUGUGGAUGUGCUGCACUUCAGCAGGGAUCUUGGAUUGUCUGACCAGGCCUGUUCUACUGGCUUGUCCUAUAGAUCCAAAGCAGGAAUGAUCCCGGUGCUGACUCCUCCAUCGCUCUGGAAGGAGUGUUACAGAGAACACAGAACAGUUUGUGAAGAUGAAACCAGGACUGCUGUCUUUUGUUUUGACGCUUUGCUGUGUUCUGGGAUCACAGGUGUUACUACAAGAUUCCAGUUUUUCACUGGGGAGAAUCCAAGUGUUUCAAGUGAGUUCAAGCAGAAUUUCGCUGCGUUGAACUGGCCUGAUUUGGGAUGCAAACCGACCUCUGAAACACCGAAAUUUCCCGUGGGAGCAGAAAUUCGGAAUUCUGCUCAGCUCCAGUUACUCUGUGCAUGGAAAUGGCCUCAAGCAAACAAACAGCGCAGACAGGAGAUGCGCCUGUGUCUAUUCACAAGUCCCUAUUCCUGGAGCCUUGUGAUAAUUCGGCAAUUUAUGAACUUUUCUUCAAUGGCAACAACAAAAUGCUUCUCUUCCUUGUGACUGGAGGGAGCUGCUGGUAUGAAACUCAUCUGUGAAAACAACUAGCACGCAACGUUCUAAAACUCUGUGGUUUUUCCAGAUCCAGUCUUAUGAUUUUUCGUUUUGGCUGAGGAGAGGGGAAAUCUGCCUCGUGAUUUUUGGUUCUCGUUAGCAUUGCUGUCAUGGUUGUUAUGUGUGGGAAUGCGGCUGGUGAAGCUGCACAGCUCAUUUCCCUCUCUCUCCCUAGAUACUGCCUUGGACAGCUUGGAAAUCCCUCAAGAUGAAGCUGUUAUUUUGAGUGCUUUUAUCAGGCUGGGUCAGGAGCUUGGGUCUGUCUGGGAAAAUAACUGUGCUGUGGGGUUGGAAACACCAAGGUCCUCAGCUCAGGUGGGAUGCAG
rnacentral:lncRNA from 1 species